rnacentral:pre_miRNA from 1 species
AAAAAAACAAACCCUGGGUUUCCGUGUCCAACGUUUGACUGUCCGUCUUAUAUAAAUUUUUUUAUAUUAGUAUUUUCAUUAUUGUUAGAUGAUAAAACAUGAUUAAUACUUUAUGCAUGACUUGUCUUUUUAAUUUUUUUCAUAUUUUUUAAAAUAAGAUGAACAGUCAAACGUUAGACAUGGAAAUCCAGGGUUUAUCUUUUU